GUAUACAUUAGUUAACACUGUAGAUCAUUAACAAAUGCUGUCGGUGUAAAUAAUGGGACAGGUAAAUGAAAUUGGUGCCAAGUUUAUGUCCGUAAAAUCGCAUUCUGUCUUUAGAUAGUGAUUGCCGGGUUGGCCGACCUUACACGUGUUCGUUUAUUGAAUCAAUGAAACAAUGAAUCAAGCUUUUAUUCACUUUACAGGCUAAAACAAUCUUACACCUAACCUAACCUAACAUAUUUUCUAAUGCCACCUGAAUAUGUUUGCACUCCUCAUGGUUAAGAUCAUGUCAAUGAUAUAACAUAUAACGUGUUUUAAAUGACAAUCUCCACCAAGUGAAAUCUGUCUUUUUAUUGUGAAAACCAGUGACCACAAUUGAGUUAACCCUCUUUGGAUGUGUUGAUAAUAAAAUACAAAACUAUAACUGAAUUAAAGCAGC
rnacentral:lncRNA from 1 species